CAGACGAGAACGCGCCGCCGCGAACGUUACGGGAGUUGGGCGGCGGUUGGGGAAGGAGGGAGAGUCAACGUCACAGUCCUCCUUCCGCAGUGGAUUCCCCCGGUGCCUCAGAUCUCUCGUGCACACGCGCGCAGCGCACACACACACGGAAGGAAAAUAACGGGCCCUAGCAGGCCCGAGGGCGGGGCAGGCAGGCGCGGGGCAGGGCGCAGGCGCCGGGGCGACUGCUCUUGGUCUUGGCUCCUGCGACUGGAACAUUCUGGAAAUGGCGGCUGUGGUGUCCCGGAGAUUGAGAUGAGAUGGGAUGGGAGGAGGGGGGAAGAGACUAGAGCGUCUGCUUCCCCUUGUGACAGGAACCAUGUAGGAGCCGCCAACGCUUCUUCCCGACUCCCAGGCCCAAGGCCCCUUACUUGGGCUACUCCGGGUUUUCCGGCAGCGAUGGCGCAUUCCCGGCCACUAUUUUGUGGGACAUGCUUCCCAGCCAGCUGAUCCUUUCCUCCACCUACUCUCCUGCCAUACUGGCACAUAGGCUCUCCUUUCUUCCCGAGAUACUCACUCCCACUCUUUUCCUCUUAUGUAUCAACAAUCCUCGCUAAAGGAGCUAGGCUAGCUCUUCCUCAGUUCCAGCUGCUUUUCUUGGCAUCCAGGCUGCUCUUAUUAUUUAUCUACUGUAUCUAUCUACUAGGAGCACCCAAAGGCCCCAAUCAGGAUAAGUGCUGUAUUGGGAGAAGUACUUUACAAGCCCAAGACGUUAUCCCUGUAAGCUUUUCACAACAGUGUAAUUUCAGGUGACACAAAUGUGUGUCUGACACAACAGGAAGGAAGAUGAGAGUAACAAGAAUGUGUGGAUUCUGGACAGAGAUGGAAGCACCUGAAAAGAGCCAACUCCAGAUUACCUGCCAGGUCUUUGCUCUCCAGAGCACUAGUUCCUGGACCACAGUUUAAGAACAGCUUGUUUAAUUAAUAAAUUGGUCUAAUUUUAUAAGAUCAAUUAAUGUGAAGAUAAAAUUUUUAAAUUAUUUGUGUUUGGCCUGAAGAAUUACAAAAUUAAAACAGAAAUGGACUGAUACAUUUGAAAAUAAAUGAAAACUGUAUGAUGGUACCGGUAGUGCAGAAUUGGACAGUGAAUUUAACUAUAAAGAGAAAAUGAAUCUGACAAUUUAGUUUCACUAUCCAAGCUCAGUGAAGUGCAUUAAGUCAAAUAAACAUUAAAAACUGUAAUGGUUCUUCAUCUUCUACAAUAAUAUAAGAGUUAAAGAUAUACCAAGAGUUAAAGAUUUUUUUUAUGUGGGCAAAGUUCCCCUAUACUUUCACUACCUCUUGGGGAUUAUGUGAACACAAAGCCAAGUAGCUUCAAAUCCCUACAUGUUUUAUUAAAUGGAUUGCUUAUAGUUUAGUUAUGCUACCACCCCCAACAGAUUACUCUAAAUGACUGUU